rnacentral:lncRNA from 1 species
GUCUUCAGAAAGGGUAUUGAUGCUAUUCGCCCGAUCUCCAUAAAUAUCUAGUUUCUACUGAUGUGAUCUUUUCGAAAAAUACACUGUUCUUCUCUUCUCCCUCCAUCCCUACAAGUAAGGAGGAGAAAGAUGAGUGACUAAUCUACCAAAUCACACAUUCAAAUAUUCCUAUUGGGCAAUCAGAUGACGGUGCUACUCUUACAUCUCCCAACACCUCUAAUGAGCAACCUCCUACUCAAGCAAAGCCACUUAUUAUCCACAUUUACUCCAGAAGGCAAGAAGCUAAUGAUACAUGUCCUGCACCGGCUACUUCAUCAUCUGAUCCUCCAAAUGACCUUGACCUUCCCAUUAGCCUUUGCAAAGGUAAACACCAGUGCACUCUCCCUAAAUCUAUUUAUCAAAUGGCUAACUUUAUUUCAUAUGAUCAUCUGUCUCUUGCGUCUAGUUCUUUAAUUACCUCUCUAGAUUCAGUCUCUGUGCCCAAAACAGUAAAAGAAGCCUUGGGUCAUCCUGGAUGGCAUAGUGCAAUACUUGAGGAGAUACAUGCUCUAGAUGAAAAUCACACAUGGGAGUUCGUAGAUCUAUCUAAAGGCAAGAAAUUUGUGGGAUGCAAAUGGAUUUUUGCUGUCAAGGUCAAUCCAGAUGGCUCUAUGGCAAGAUUGAAAGCCAGACUUGUUGCAAAAGGAUAUGCUUAGACCUGUGGAGUGGAUUAUUCAGAUACAUUCUCUUAAGUGGCC